rnacentral:rRNA from 1 species
UGCUCUCUGAUUAUUAUUUAAAGGGCCGCGGUAAUUUGACCGUGCAAAGGUAGCAUAAUAGUUAGUUUUUUAAUUGAAAUCUUGUAUGAAUGGUUGAACAAAAGAAAUACUGUCUCUAUAAUUUUUGUUAAAUUUAACUUUUAAGUGAAAAGGCUUAAAUUAAUCAAAAAGACGAUAAGACCCUAUAAAGCUUUAUAAAUAAUUUUAUUAUAUUUGAUUUGUUAAUAAUAUUUUAAUAAAUUAUAUUAUUUUGUUGGGGAGAUAAUAUUAUAAUUAUAGGUAACUGUAAGUUAUUAGUACAAUUAUAGGUGUAUCAAACAGUAAAAGAUCCUAUUGUAUAGAGUAAAAGUUUAAGUUACUUUAGGGAUAACAGCGUUAUUUUUCUUGAGAGUUCAUAUCGAAAGAAAAGAUUGCGACCUCGAUGUUGAAUUAAAAUUUCUAAAUAAUUGUAGCAGUUAUUUAAGGAGGUCUGUUCGACCUUUAAAGUUUUA